GUAACAGUGCUAGUGUAAAACUAGAACUAACAUAAAUCUGUAAAGUUAACUAUGGUUAAGUUACAUUAGAUGCAGAGAGUUAAAUUAUUAAUAAGUUUAGAAAUUUUAAUGCUUGGUAUAAAUUGUUGGAUUGAAUUUCCCUAUUGAAAAGUGGAUUGAAAUCGCUUUUGUCCUUGCAAAGAACAAAACUUUCAGCGAAAUAUAACUAAUGACUUAAAUGCAACCAAACUAUUCAAAGACUAGUUUAAAUUUAUAGUGUAGUUCUAUUUAUGUUAAGUCUCGAGAUUGCACAAUUUAAUUUUAGUAAAUUUAAUUUAAUUGAUUGAAUCUCAACAUGUGGUCAACUUUGUUAAACUUCUCAAUUUACUAGUCACUUCUAAAGUUUCGUCAAUUUGAUUGCAAAUGUGGACAAUCUAGCCGAUUGGCCCUUCCCGGAAGAAGGGUUUCUGGACUAUAAAAGAUGCGUAUACCUCUUGGCCUACAUCACUGUUACAUCGACAACCAAACUGUAUAGUUACAAAAUUCUAUAUCAAAUUUAAAAAGAAAAUUUAGUGGCAAGAUUUUUCGCGUAGAGAAUUUAACGAUGCAUCGAUUCGUUAUGAUUCUGGUUGUUUUGGUUGCUUUGGAAUUGGCCACAGCCCAAUUUAAUUAUUCACCAGAUUGGGGUAAAAGAAGCCAGGGUAAUUUUCCGGUGAAUAAUUGUAAACCUUCAAUGGACGCUGCUCUCGUUGUUUAUAAAAUUAUUCAGACUGAAGCUCAAAAGUUGAUUGAAUGCGACAAAGGCGUUAAUUAGUUGGUGAAUUUCAAAUGUUCUCGUACAAUUAAAUAAAAUUGAUAAAUAUGCAAAA